rnacentral:rRNA from 1 species
GACGAACGCUGGCGGCGUGCCUAACACAUGCAAGUCGAACGGAGAUACAGGGGCUUGCCCUUGUAUCUUAGUGGCGGACGGGCGAGUAACGCGUGAGGAACCUGCCCUUCAGUGGGGAAUAACGGCUGGAAACGGUCGCUAAUACCGCAUGACACAUUGGUACCGCAUGAUACUGAUGUCAAAGGAGCAAUCCGCUGAAGGAUGGCCUUGCGUCCGAUUAGCUAGUUGGUGGGGUAACGGCCUACCAAGGCGACGAUCGGUAGCCGAACUGAGAGGUUGAUCGGCCGCAUUGGGACUGAGACACGGCCCAGACUCCUACGGGAGGCAGCAGUGGGGGAUAUUGGUCAAUGGGGGAAACCCUGAACCAGCAACGCCGCGUGAGGGAAGACGGCCUUCGGGUUGUAAACCUAAGUGAUCAGGGACGAAGGAAGUGACGGUACCUGAAAAGCAAGCUCCGGCUAACUACGUGCCAGCAGCCGCGGUAAUACGUAGGGAGCGAGCGUUGUCCGGAUUUACUGGGUGUAAAGGGUGCGUAGGCGGGAAAGCAAGUCAGGUGUGAAAUACCGGGGCUCAACUCCGGGGCUGCGCUUGAAACUGUUUUUCUUGAGUGAAGUAGAGGCAGGCGGAAUUCCUAGUGUAGCGGUGGAAUGCGUAGAUAUUAGGAGGAACACCAGUGGCGAAGGCGGCCUGCUGGGCUUUAACUGACGCUGAGGCACGAAAGCAUGGGGAGCAAACAGGAUUAGAUACCCUGGUAGUCCAUGCUGUAAACGCUGAAAAGGGGUGUGGGGGGACUGACCCCUUCCGUGCCGGAGUAAACACAAUAAGCAAUCCACCUGGGGAGUACGACCGCAAGGUUGAAACUCAAAGGAAUUGACGGGGGCCCGCACAAGCAGUGGAGUAUGUGGAUUAAUUUGACGCAACGCGAAGAACCUUACCAGGUCUUGACAUCCGACUAACGAAGCAGAGAUGCAUUAGGUGCCCUUCGGGGAAAGUCGAGACAGGUGGUGCAUGGUUGUCGUCAGCUCGUGUCGUGAGAUGUUGGGUUAAGUCCCGCAACGAGCGCAACCCUUGUUGUUAGUUGGUACGGAAGAGCACUCUAACGAGACUGCCGUUGACAAAACGGAGGAAGGUGGGGAGGACGUCAAAUCAUCAUGCCCUUUAUGACCUGGGCUUCACACGUACUACAAUGGCCGUAAACAGAGGGAAGCAAGACCGCGAGGUGGAGCAAAUCCCUAAAAACGGUCCCAGUUCAGAUUGCAGGCUGCAACCCGCCUGCAUGAAGAUGGAAUUGCUAGUAAUCGCGGAUCAGCAUGCCGCGGUGAAUAAGUUCCCGGGCCUUGCACA